AAUAGAUACCCAGGUAGUCCUAGCCGUAAACGAUGAGCACUGGGUUGAAGGGUCCUCCAUAGCCUUUCAGCCGUAGCGAAAGUGUUAAGUGCUCCGCCUGGGGAGUAUGGUCGCAAGGCUGAAACUCAAAGAAAUUGACGGGGGCUCACACAAGCGGUGGAGGAUGUGGCUUAAUUCGAGGCUACGCGAAGAACCUUAUCCUAGUCUUGACAUGCACGGAUUAACUCCCUGAAAGGGGAGCCACGCCUUCGGGUGGAACGUGCACAGGUGCUGCAUGGCUGUCGUCAGCUCGUGCUGUGAAGUGUCGGGUUAAGUCCCUUAACGAGCGAAACCCUUGUCGCUAGUUGCCAGCGAGUCAUGUCGGGGACUCUAGCGAGACCGCCGGUGUUAAACCGGAGGAAGGUGGGGAUGACGUCAAGUCCUCAUGGCCCUUAUGACUAGGGCUGCACACGUCCUACAAUGGCAUGCACAAAGGGACGCAAAGUCGCGAGACCAAGCAAAUCCCAAAAAACAUGCCCCAGUUCGGAUUGCG
rnacentral:rRNA from 1 species